rnacentral:tRNA from 1 species
GCCUGGCUGGCUCAGUCAGAGGAGCAUGUGACUCUUGAUCUCCAGGUUGUGAGUUCGAGCCCCACGUUGGGUA